CAUCUGAGGGAAUAUUUUGCCCCUUAGUAGAUGCUGUGAUAGGUGUUGCACCCUUUUGGUUCUUAGGCCCCUUAGCCCUAGGUCCCCUGUUCAAUUCAUUAAAACCGUCCAUGAUAUCAUUGCCUGAACCAAAAUAACCAUUGCCCCGUCCCCUUGGUCUGUACUUGUUGUCUGCCAACCAACCCCUUUCAUUUGUUCGCAAAUCAUAACCAUUAGAUCCAAAGCCCAUUCCAGAUCUGAAUGUGGUCCCAUACUGGCCAUAUGGUUUGUUUGGGUACAUUCUAUUGACAUAACCAUGAGCUGUGCCCAUGCCGGACAUUGUCCCAGGGUGGUGCAGUCCCUUUAAAUUCAAAAGUAUGAUGAUUAGAAGCAAAAAUUCAAAAGAAUAUAACACCAAGAGAACUAAGAAGAUCGCAUAACAUAACAAUACAAAGGAAAUUCUUAGAAAAGCCAAAUCAUGCAUACCAUGUAAUUAGAAUUCGAUCUGAAGUUUUGAUUCCUUGAAGAUGGAAAACCAUUUGCUUUUGAAACCAAAGAGUUCAUUGCAGGGCUUGAGACGGGCCUGUGCUGCCCAUCUGAAAACAUAGAGCCAUCAAGCCAUGGGAUAGGAGAUCGAAACCCAUCAAAACCGUAUCUUGGAUCCUGAUAUCCGGAGGUUGGGACACUUCCAGGUGGAGGUCCCCUUCCAUAAGAAUUAUUGGUAUUAAAUGAGCUGGGGUAUGAUGGUUUUAUUGCGCCUGG
rnacentral:lncRNA from 1 species